GGGGGCGUCAGGUCUCGACAGGGGACAUUUAGCCCAAGUGGCGAGCCGAGGUUCCGAUCACCUCGUUAAUCAAUCGGACGCGAAAACAAACGCGAACGAUAACCUAGCACUAGCCGCAUAAAAAUAAGCCGGCUACGUCACCCGAGUCAGGUCCGCGGACCCGGAAGUGGCGUCGCUAAGCGGACUACCGACCAGCCUAUGCCUGUAAGCAAGGUCGGGAAACAUACAGGCUGGCCGGCUAUCAAGGUUUGCCUUUGGACCCUUAAGCCGGUGAGAUUCAACCAAUAGGCUACGCUCGUAGAAGCUUUGGUGAGAUGCUCUUGGACGCGAGUUCAAUUCUCGCCGCCUCCACCA
rnacentral:tmRNA from 1 species